CAGCAGCCGCGGUAAUACGUAGGUGGCAAGCGUUGUCCGGAAUUAUUGGGCGUAAAGGGCUCGCAGGCGGUUCCUUAAGUCUGAUGUGAAAGCCCCCGGCUCAACCGGGGAGGGUCAUUGGAAACUGGGAAACUUGAGUGCAGAAGAGGAGAGUGGAAUUCCACGUGUAGCGGUGAAAUGCGUAGAGAUGUGGAGGAACACCAGUGGCGAAGGCGACUCUCUGGUCAGUAACUGACGCUGAGGAGCGAAAGCGUGGGGAGCGAACAGGAUUAGAUACCCCAGUAGUCCCUGUCUCUUAUAC
rnacentral:rRNA from 1 species